CGUCUGGAAAAAAAGGUAUAUAUCAGGAUUACACAAGUAAUUUCAAAAUUUCCAACUGUUUUGUUACGAAAUAUGCCAGCCAAGAUAGACAAAAAAGAGAAGCUUUCAGUUCAUAGAAGCUAAAAGCUAUGACCAUAAGUGCAUGUUCGUACGCAGUACUUGACCACCAUCGACAAUAUAAUGAACAAGAUUUUUCCUUAAUAGUGUCCAGUGCUAACCAAUCUUCACUACCAAAUAUGACAUAAAUGGGUAAGACUGUGAUAGAAAAUUUUAUGGUGAUCAUAUCCACAACAUUAGGGUCAUAAGUAUUAGCCAAGCUGACGAAUCUCAGUAUGGAAUGAAAAAUUACGUUAUCUUCAGCUACUGUAGACACAUAUUCUAUUGCAGCACUGUGCCAACAGUGGCUGCAUCAGUAAUUCUCAAGAUGUUUGGCAACAAAAAAAAUGCUUGAGGCAAUCCUCUAGAGAGCAUUCUUCCAUCCAAAUAUAUAUAUACCAGAAAACAUCACCACGACGAAGGUAUUGAAUAUAAAGGUAUAGAAAGCAUUUGUAUCACAAUUGUAAGACCAUACUGUUGGAGCAUUAUGGUUGAUUGGGGCGAAAGAUGCAAACUGUGAAAUAGUUGAAAAUCAAGAGAUAUCUACAGAUAGAAAGGUAAAACAAAUAAAAUAGAAACUAGAAGCUAAAAAGGGUAUCCUGAGCAAUUGCAAUAAUUCGGGUUCAGGAAGGUAUUGAAUAUAAAGGUAUAGAAAGCAUUUGUAUCACAAUUGUAAGACCAUACUGUUGGAGCAUUAUGGUUGAUUGGGGCGAAAGAUGCAAACUGUGAAAUAGUUGAAAAUCAAGAGAUAUCUACAGAUAGAAAGGUAAAACAAAUAAAAUAGAAACUAGAAGCUAAAAAGGGUAUCCUGAGCAAUUGCAAUAAUCCGGGUUCAUUGAUAUUGAACUCACUUAAAGCCCCCGUUUGGCCCCCAUUUUCUAGAAAUAAAAAUUGGUGGAAUAGUAUUUUUUUGAAAAAUGAGUGGUUGAAAAAGAAGGAAAAAUUUUCAAUUUACUUGUAAUAUUAUUUUAUGGAAGAUUGUGUGGUUGAAAAUAGGAGAGAGAGAAAUGAAAUGUAAUGUAAUGAAAUUUAAUGGGGGCAAAGAGAAAAGUAUGAAAGAUUGAAAGAGUGUCCUUCAUUUUGCUACUUCCACUAUAAGGUCAACUAAUCGAGCUUACAAUAUUAUGAGGAUAACCAUUGUAGAACAGUCAACAUAAUCAACAAAAUUGGUCAAUGUAUUCCAUUUAUUUACAUCGUUAUAUAAAAAAUUUAUUAACAUAGAUAUGAUA
rnacentral:lncRNA from 1 species